CCUACGGGUGGCAGCAGUGGGGAAUAGUGGGCAAUGGAGGCAACUCUGACCCAGCAACGCCGCGGGAAGGAUGAAGGUCUUAGGAGGGUAAAGUUCGUUUCUAAGGGAAGAAGAAAGUGACGGUACCGUAGGAAUAAGCCUCGGCUAACUACGGGCCAGCAGCCGCGGUAAUACGUAGGAGGAAAGCGUUAACCGGAAGGACGGGGCGUAAAGGGUGCGUAGGUGGUUUGACAAGGUGGUAGCGUAACUCCGGAGCUCAACUUCGGAACUACUACCAAAACUGUUGGACUCGAGUGCAGGAGAGGCAACUGGAAUUUCUCGUGUAUCGGUGUAAUGCGUAGAUAUUAGGAAGAACACCGGUGGCGAAGGCGCGUUGCUGGACUGUAACUGACACUGAGGCACGAAAGCGUGGGGAGCAAACAGGAUUAGCUACCCUAGUAGUC
rnacentral:rRNA from 1 species